rnacentral:lncRNA from 1 species
CAGUAAGAUGAGGGCGUGGAAACAGUGGAAGAACCGGCAGUGGCCACACUAAGCAUUUAUAAGUGAGAAACGCAAAAAAAAAAAAAAAAAAGCGUAUCAUGAAGCAAACCAAGAACGAGGAUUUCAGCCCCAUUAUUUCAAUUAUGUUUUAUGAUGGGGGCCCGCUUUGUGUUCCAAAUAGGGUAGGGUGCCUGCAGAAUUUGGCCUUGGUUGGAAAAUCUGAUUUGUGUGGUGGGCUGCGGUCCAUGGGCUCGAUAGGAGUCGGACACGACUGAGCGACUUCACUUUCAUGCAUUGGAGAAGGAAAUGGCAACCCACUCCAGUGUUCUUGCCUGGAGAAUCCCAGGGGCGGCGGAGCCUGGUGGGCUGCAUUCUCUGGGGUCGCACAGAGUCGGACACGACUGAAGCGACUUAGCAGCAGCAGCAAACCACAAAUAGACUGCAAGAGUCAACUUUUGCAGCAGAAAGACAAACUAAAAAUGCCCUGGUCCAGAAUUUUACCUGAAGGAGUGAUGGUCCAACCCACUCUUCUACAGAAAUCUUUCCAGGUGCCUUUCCCAGUGGAUGGGAGUCUAAGUUCUGCACCCCCAGGAACCCUGGAGAAUGGAAGCUGGAGAGAUGGAGAAGUAGACCCAACACAGAAGAGGACCAUCCCUCACCACCAUCACCAGCCUUCCUUAUGGUGUGCUUCCGAAGGAUCACUCAAAUGUGUACUUCUGGCCUGGAAAUGUGACUCCACGUGUGGCUCUACAGGUGAUCAAGUGGUGGUGAAGAUGGUCACAUGGACUGUCAGACUGAGAGUCACAAUAUUUUGCACCACCUGUGAUCACUCUUUGAGAAGAGGAAACAGGCUAUGAGAGAGAUUUAGGUACUGUUUCCUCUAAGCCUUCAACAUUUUGCUAGAGUGACAGCCAUGACCAACAGAUAUUAACAACGAAGUUCUCAUUUUUCUGCCCUUCCUGUUACCUUCUGUGUAUUCAGACUUGAGCAAAUAAAAUUAUUUGGG